UUUUGUAUCAUCCUUUUGUAGUAUUAUGUGUUGUCAUAUUUGGUUAUCUUUCUCGCUGGGAUGUUGGAAUUUUGUUGUCUUCUGGGGUCCCUCUUUCAGAAACUAUCCUGGUAGAUAUAUGCAUUUAUAAGUAGAUACACAGAUGUAUCUCGGCAUUUUCUUCUUAACCUGUCUACUCUAUUUGUCGCAGUUAUUCUUGUAAACUGUACUGCUGAUGUUUUAAAAUUAAUUGAAAUCAAUGAAAUGUAUGGUUCCUUCAAGAUGUUAACGGGUCUUGAUGUGGAAAUGUUUUAUUCGUCGAAUCUUGAAAUGAAUAUCUUAUAUCACAAUGGAUAAAGGAACAGUAUUCCUACUAUUUUGACUGUUCGUGAUGUCUCGAGCCUUUUUAAAUAAAUGGUCCCUGCAAAUUGAAUUUAACUUGAUUGUUUAAAAUUAACUAGUGUCAAUGUUUUCUCUAUGAUAACAGAUAUUCAGCAGAAAAAAUAAAAAUAAAAAUAAAUCCCGGUUGCUCGUGCUUCCUUGUUAUGGGCUCAAAAUUAUGUCGGUCGGGAUUGGGAGAGAUGGAUCUCCAAAUUACGCAAAUAAUAGCCUCUUCCUAUUCUAUAUCUCCAGUAUCUUCUUUGCUCAAUCUGUCAAAGCCUCGAAAAUAAAUAUGUUGGCUUGAAAAUCCACUUGAAUGUAUAAAGUCUGACGACUCAGAAAUGCUUUGUAGAGAUGGACGCCAGGACUUGGCCCGUCUUGCUGUGAAAUUCGUUGAUCCUGACAACCUUUGCUGAUGUCUGUCAUGUCUCGUGACCUGAAAUUGGCAAUUUAUUCGUUUUCGUGUUUUGGACUCUCUACUGGAACAUUGCUUAUCUGAAUCUACCGGCAACUGCUCACCAGAUUUUGAAAUGAUUAUGAGCAACAGAAGAAGAUGAAGAAAGAGAUGAGGAGAACCCACCACCCCUCAAAGUGGGUUGCUUGGAUACUGGUGAAAUGGUCACGUGGAGGUAGUGGAUUUUGGAGGGUUGUGCUCGGCCGUGUCGACCAGGUCAAGAUUUAGAUUUGUAUUUUAUUUUUAUAGUUGUUGAAGUUACAAAUAUAAAUAAUUUUUUUUUUAUUUAAUUAUCCGAUGAAGUUUUGUGUAUAAGUUUUAAGCAUUUCAAAUUUUGAAUUCGAGAUCGUAAGUGUUGUCUCAGUGGCUAUCAUUGUUUACAUAGCUAGAUGAUGAGAUUUGAUAUCUCGAAUUAGAGUCAUGUUGUUCGCAUAUCAUGAGC